rnacentral:lncRNA from 1 species
CAUACACCACCUUGCCCCAUGCUCCCAUGCCCUCUGACCAUUUUUGAAUACUGGCCUCUGGAGUCUCGUAAGACCAAACACCCUGCCUCUGCUCCCUGCCAUACUUAAUGGGCCUCACACCCUGCUUCCUGGAGCUUGAUUUCACUGCGGAGUCCAGGCCUCGUGGAUGGCUCUAGACCAAGAGCACAAGCAGAUUUACAAAAGAAUCAGUGUUGGCAGGAAGGGGAAAAAAAUGACAUAGAAAGAGAGGAGCCAUCAGGAAAGAUGAAAGGGUUUUGCUUCUUCAUCUGACGGGUCUUGAAGGCUGUCUUCGGGAGGGAGAUGGCUCCUUACGGCAGAGGGUGUAAUUAAUUAAGGGUGAGGUGCAGUGAGCUCAGGCAGCUGGUGCAAGUGAUAAAGUGGCAUUGUGCAGCGAGUCCCCGGUGGUGACGGAGAUAAGGGCCCUGUCACAGGCACGAGGCUUGCUGGUUGCAGCGUGGGGAAGAGGCAGGGGUGUUUCUAGAGGGAAAGGCAGGAACUGGCCAAAACACAUUUAUGGGUGAAGCUCUGCCUCCUUCAGACCACAGCACCUUGAAGUUUAAUCCCCUGGUGGGAAAGCCGAAAAUACCCAUUAUGCCACUGCUCAUUUCUUGUAGACAGAAAUAUAGAAAAUGAGAGCAUGUGUUGAAGAAAAAAAAUCAAAAGGAAUGGUUAAAAGAAAGUUUUAAAUAACAUUUUUAAAAGCAUAAGAAACCCAUAGACUAUUUUAAAAAAAUAAAGAAAAUCCUCAUUGAAAGCCAGGAAAAAAUGUGUGCUGAGGAUCAAAAAGACUGGUUUCUGGAAAGGAAAAAAAAAAAAAAACCCUCUGCAUUGCUAACUAGCAGAGAAAAAGAAGUCAUGUAAAGAUGUAAAGGGAAAGGCAUCCUCCCUUUCGUCCACCCCACCGUCUCGUGCUUUGCCUCUCCAGAUCCUCCAGCCAAGAUCCAUCUUCAGAUCAGGCAUCCAAGUCAGAUGGAGGAGGCCAGGCCUUGGCUGUGUAAUCCAGGAGCUCCAAUCUCAGCUGUUUGCUCCCCUCUUGGGAAAGAUAUAUUUGUGUCUAUGAAGACCCCAAGUGCUACCCACGAGGGCAGAACAGAUCCAAGGAAGGGGCAUGUUCCACAGGAGGUAUCAGCCUUAUGAACUACAGUAUCAUCACAUUUAUAAACAGAAACCAGGAAAUCAUGUCCAGGGACCAGCGUACUCAUGUGCAUGUGUUCCAGAAAUUCAAGUGUGAGGGGGGACCAUCUUUCCAAGGAUGGACUCCAUUCAAGUCCUUCAUUCUUACCCCCAACAAAUCCACUGAGAAUAAUUCCAUCUGGAGAGAGAGAGAGAGCUAAGCACAGGAGUCCCUUUCUUCUUUCCAACCAACCAGGACCUCGAGGGAUGCCUGUUCUCUGCCAUCCCCCACCUGAGUUUGGGGACCUCAGACAGGGGCCUGAGCUGGUAUGAGCUUUGGCAUAAGUCACAGAGAUUUAAUACCAUAUAUCCAGCGUCUGGUCUUUCAGAAUGACAUUUUCAUUAGAGUGGAAAUAUGCCACCUAAACAAACAAAAAAGUAUUUCUCAGCUUCCCCUGAAGAUGGCAGUGACCAGUGAAAUAUAAGGGGAAGUCACUGGGUGGGGAUUUUGGAAAGGAUUUGUAAAGGGAGGUUUCUCAGCUGAUAGAUACCCUUUUGCCUUCCCCAAUUUCUCCUACUUUCUAUCUAGAACGUCAACAUGAUGGCUGGAAUUCUAGUGGCCAUCUUAAGUCAUGGGGUGACCUUGAGAAACAGAAAGACACAUGGCGGCUGGGACAUGGAUGGUACCAAGGAGCCCUCUUGACAGGCCUGGAUUGCCAACCCAGACUUCUUUUACAUGAGAGAAGAGCAAACUUGAAUUAUAUUGGCCAGUAGCCUACUCAAUAUUUGGCCUUUCUGUCCUGCAACUGAACCUAAUACUAACAGAUACAGCAGGUCUCCAAAAACAGAAAGUACUGAGGCCCCUGGUGCUCAGAGAUCCCUGGAAAGAGUGACUGAGCUGAGAUAACCCACAGCCCCACCUUGAAUCCAAGACCCUCCAUUGGAAGCCAGGGCCUGCCUGUCAUUGUCUUCCAGGAAAGCUGUCUCAGUCACUUCCCCGGGCCUCAGUCUUUCUCAACACAAAUAUCACCAUCUCCAUAACACCCCUCUCCCAAAAUAAUGCUUGUAGCUCCCCACCUCCCUCCCUCGUGAAAUCUGAAGCCUGAUGAAGCCUCCCUAGACAGUUUGUGCAAAGAAUGGCACAAGCAUGAAUGAUGAUUUCAUCAAGAGUCUGCAGGGCACAAGGCUGUGCCAGUCCUUUUCUGGAAGGUCAGGGAUAGGAAGACAGGUUAAGGAAAUGCCAGAGGCUCUGAGUCUGACUGAGCCAGGGAAGGAGAACCAGGAUCAGUCCAUAAACAAGCAGGAAGUAGCCCCUUUUGUUUUGGCUUAGGCCUGCACCAGGGAAGCUGAGUCACUUAGGGGUAGGGAAUGGAGGCAGGGAGAGGGCAGAGCCCCCAGACUCGUGGUUAGGACCCCUAAGUGCAAAAUCCCAGUUCUGGCUCCAACUUGCCCAGAAAAUGAGGGUUUUUGGCUAGGUGAGCUAUGA